CCCUGGCUCAUGGAUCCCUGAGGUCAC
rnacentral:piRNA from 1 species